GCCUUGAUGGCCCAGUGGUUAGGACCCUGCACUUCCACUGCAGGGGGCGUGGGUUCAAUCCCUGGUCAGGGAA
rnacentral:tRNA from 1 species